ACAAAAACUAUGAGCAGACUAGUAGUUAUAAGCACAGACAGAGAGUAUUCGGAGCUGGAAAGAAUACAUGAUAGUUUAUAAUGAAUCACACCUGUCAGUUGAUUUUCUGAAUGUAGUCGAGUAUAUAUACAAAAGUAAGAAAUUCCGGAAAACGCCCCGUUAGCGCACGAGUUUGGUCAAAUUAAACUCCGUGAGUUCGUUUGUGUGAGCAAGCGAUGAACAUGAGGUGGAACCGCGAAUAGUCGUCCUCUUA
rnacentral:ncRNA from 1 species